UGGCACAUAACCGAAGACCUUUAAUUUUCGGAUCAUGGAUUGGAGGCCGUUCGGGUGGUCGCGCGAGAGAUCGGGCCAAACCGGGUGCCGGGUGCCGCGGGAGGCCGAUUGCAAGUGUCGACAAGCAAUCGGAAAGCGAUUUGAGGUGGGUUGUGCUCACCGAAGCGACUAGGUCACUUAUAUGUCUAAGAGUAAUGGUUUUCUAAUUGAUGCAUAUAGUUGAUGUUACUUACUGUUGAGAUAAAAUGCAUAAUGACAUAUAAUGUGUUAAGUAUUAGAUGAAUGCAUGAGUUAAUUGUCACAUGAAUGCAUGAAAAUAAUGUUAUAGUAAUAUGUUAGAGGUAAUAUGCAUGUUUGUGGAAUAUGAUGAAUGAGUGCAUGUUGAUUUAUUGUAGAAUAUACUAGAUGAAUGUAUAUUGACAUAUUGUGGAUUAUGUUAAAUGACACAUGCAUGUUGAACUUGGGUCGAUAAACUCUAGGUGAAUUAGAGAACUCGACAUUGGAAAACAAUGACGUAUGAACUAUGAUAUGUGACGUGGACAAUCUAUAUAUAUUAGAUCGAGUGGCAUAUGAUUAGUAUAGUAGAAACACUUAUGGCAUGUUGAAUACUUAGAAAACAAGUGUGGCAUGAGUCCAAGAAUAUAGUAGUGUAUAUGACACAAGUGAUAGUAAAGAAUGCAAAGAAAAGAAUGAUGGAAAUAUUAUGACAUUUCAACCCUAGAGUUAGGGUCAUUUGAGCAUAGUCUUCCUAAAGUUAAGGAAUGGAUUGAACUUGACAUCCUCAAGAUUUUGGAUUUGAUCAUUGAUCAUACUCACCUUUAGUCCUUGCUCGAGGUUGUGGUAGCUCCCCCUCGGGCGAUGUGCUCCGGAGUCGACAUCACUGGGUUGUAGCGGGUAUCUCCCCAGAGGACGGUCCCACCGGGUUGUAGCGGGUAUCUCCCCGGUUAAUGGGAUUUUGGGUUGGUGAGUUUGUUGAGGGCGAAACCUUCGGAUUAGCCAAGAGAUUGGGUAACAAGCACAUGAGCUGUAAUAAUAUCCUAGUUGAGUGGACUUAAGGCUGAGGUGCAAGUGAGACGUCCUUCGCCUCGAGCCUGCCUUUGCGCGGUACUCCGCGAAUGAUUGACUUGAAACCGAGUUGGGUGGAUAGUCGAUAAAGGUAAAUGAGACCCUAUGAUCAGAAUGGUAAUUGAUAUGAGUUUAAAAUAGAGAAAUAACUUCGAGGUCAAUUGAAUGAGCUAUGAAUAGCAGGAUUAAAGUAGUUUCGAUUGAACUACUAAUUGAUUGCAUAAAUCGCAUGAUUUUCAUAUUGCAUGGUUGUCAGGCAUGACAUAUAUUUCAAUUAUCGCAUAUAUAUAUCUGUUGGAUAUUUGUUGGACUAACAUGUUGCGGUGCCUCCCUUGGACCUAUUGGUCGAGCUUUUCCUUUGGGUGGCCGUACCCACUGGGAACUAUGAAGUUGGUUCUCACCCCACGUUGUUUUGAGGUGUUACAGGUUCACACGUGAGCGGCGCAGCGGCGCAAGGCGAGGGCAUAGCUCCAUAGUUAGCGCCCUACCACCGAGACCAGAGAUAGCGGUACCCUGAGUCGGAUUUGCUUAGGGAUGUAAAGAAUAAAAAGAAUGAAGUUGUAAUAAUCAUGUUAAAUCCGAUUGUAUUUGGAAGUUAAGUGAAAGCUAGUGUAAGAAUCAAAUGAGAAUUGUGAUGUAAAAAUAUAUGAAUGUGAAUGCAUGUAAUAACAUAGGAUGUGUUAUGUUGUUUGAUACCUUCCAUUAUGCAAUCUUUGAUUGAAAUAUGUUCCUGGUUGGAACUUUAUACAUUGUAUUGAUUGUAACGCCUUGAAUGUACAGGGGAGACUCUGUCCGCGGUACAGGAAAAACUCUGUCCGUUCGGCGAU
rnacentral:lncRNA from 1 species